GACGAACGCUGGCGGCGUGCUUAACACAUGCAAGUCGAACGGAAAGGCCCUGCUUUUGUGGGGUGCUCGAGUGGCGAACGGGUGAGUAACACGUGAGUAACCUGCCCUUGACUUUGGGAUAACUUCAGGAAACUGGGGCUAAUACCUGAUAGGAGCUCCUGCUGCAUGGUGGGGGUUGGAAAGUUUCGGCGGUUGGGGAUGGUCUCGCGGCUUAUCAGCUUGUUGGUGGGGUAGUGGCUUACCAAGGCUUUGACGGGUAGCCGGCCUGAGAGGGUGACCGGCGAAAAUGGGACUGAGAUACGGCCCAGACUGCUACGGGAGGCAGCAGUGGGGAAUAUUGCACAAUGGGAGGAAGCCUGAUGCAGCAACGCAGCGUGCGGGAUGACGGCCUUCGGGUUGUAAACCGAUUUAGAAUGUGACGAAGCGUGAGUGACGGUAAUGGGUAAAGAAGCACCGGCUAACUACGUG
rnacentral:rRNA from 1 species